rnacentral:rRNA from 1 species
CCUGACUGCUAUCGGAUUGAUACUAAGCCAUGCGAGUCAUUGUAGCAAUACGAGGCAUACGGCUCAGUAACGCGUAGUCAACCUAACCUAUGGACGGGAAUAACCUCGGGAAACUGAGAAUAAUGCCCGAUAGAACACUAUACCUGGAAUGGUUUGUGUUCCAAAUGAUUUAUCGCCAUAGGAUGGGACUGCGGCCUAUCAGUUUGUUGGUGAGGUAAUGGCCCACCAAGACUAUUACAGGUACGGGCUCUGAGAGGAGUAGCCCGGAGAUGGGUACUGAGACACGGACCCAGGCCCUAUGGGGCGCAGCAGGCGAGAAAACUUUGCGAUGUGCGAAAGCACGACAAGGUUAAUCCGAGUGAUUUGUGCUAAACGAAUCUUUUGUUAGUCCUAGAAACACUAACGAAUAAGGGGUGGGCAAGUUCUGGUGUCAGCCGCCGCGGUAAAACCAGCACCUCAAGUGGUCAGGAUGAUUAUUGGGCCUAAAGCAUCCGUAGCCGGCUCUGUAAGUUUUCGGUUAAAUCUGUACGCUUAACGUACAGGCUGCCGGGAAUACUGCAGAGCUAGGGAGUGGGAGAGGUAGACGGUACUCGGUAGGAAGUGGUAAAAUGCUUUGAUCUAUCGAUGACCACCUGUGGCGAAGGCGGUCUACCAGAACACGUCCGACGGUGAGGGAUGAAAGCUGGGGGAGCAAACCGGAUUAGAUACCCGGGUAGUCCCAGCUGUAAACUAUGCAAACUCAGUGAUGCAUUGGCUUGUGGCCAAUGCAGUGCUGCAGGGAAGCCGUUAAGUUUGCCGCCUGGGAAGUACGUACGCAAGUAUGAAACUUAAAGGAAUUGGCGGGGGAGCACCACAAGGGGUGAAGCCUGCGGUUC